rnacentral:rRNA from 1 species
CAGCAGCCGCGGGAAUACCGAGGGUGCGAGCGUUAAUCGGAUUUACUGGGCGUAAAGCGUGCGUAGGCGGCUUUUUAAGUCGGAUGUGAAAUCCCUGAGCUUAACUUAGGAAUUGCAUUCGAUACUGGGAAGCUAGAGUAUGGGAGAGGAUGGUAGAAUUCCAGGUGUAGCGGUGAAAUGCGUAGAGAUCUGGAGGAAUACCGAUGGCGAAGGCAGCCAUCUGGCCUAAUACUGACGCUGAGGUACGAAAGCAUGGGGAGCAAACAGGAUUAGAUACCCCGGUAGUCCCUGUCUCUUAUAA